rnacentral:rRNA from 1 species
UGCCAGCCGCCGCGGUAACACGGGGGGCGCAAGCGUUAUUCGGAAUUAUUGGGCGUAAAGGGCGCGCAGGCGGUCUGACAAGUCAGGGGUGAAAUCCCUCGGCUCAACCGAGGAACUGCCUCUGAAACUGUCAGGCUUGAGGCCGGGAGAGGGUGGCGGAAUUCCCAGUGUAGCGGUGAAAUGCGUAGAUAUUGGGAGGAACACCAGUGGCGAAGGCGGCUUUCUGGACCGAUACUGACGCUGAGACGCGAAAGCGUGGGGAGCAAACAGGAUUAGAUA